rnacentral:rRNA from 1 species
UACGAAGGGGGCUAGCGUUGCUCGGAAUCACUGGGCGUAAAGCGCACGUAGGCGGAUUGUUAAGUCAGGGGUGAAAUCCUGGAGCUCAACUCCAGAACUGCCUUUGAUACUGGCGAUCUCGAGUCCGGGAGAGGUGAGUGGAACUGCGAGUGUAGAGGUGAAAUUCGUAGAUAUUCGCAAGAACACCAGUGGCGAAGGCGGCUCACUGGCCCGGUACUGACGCUGAGGUGAC